GCUCAUACCUGCCAAGAAAGAUACCAUGAUCGUGAAAGUGGUUUUCCCAGGGUAAGGCUCAUCCAUUGCAUUUUGGGUGUGCUGAUCCCUGUGAUUUCCCCAAAUGUGGGAAAAUCAACUGCCUAAUUUGUGGUAGUGGGGGACCGUGUUUGCGGUUUUUCCUA
rnacentral:snRNA from 1 species